rnacentral:rRNA from 1 species
UGGGGGAUAUUGCACAAUGGGCGAAAGCCUGAUGCAGCGACGCCGCGUGGGGGAUGAAGGCCUUCGGGUUGUAAACUUCUUUUGCUCUGAACAAGGCAUGCCUUUGGGGUGUGUUGAGUGUAGGGGUUGAUUAGCGCCGGCUAACUACGUGCCAGCAGCCGCGGUAAUACGUAGGGCGCGAGCGUUGUCCGGAAUUAUUGGGCGUAAAGGGCUUGUAGGUGGCUGGUUGCGUCUGUCGUGAAAGCUCAUGGCUUAACUGUGGGUUUGCGGUGGGUACGGGCUGGCUUGGGUGCAGUAGGGGGGGCUGGAAUUCCUGGUGUAGCGGGGGAAUGCGCAGUUAUCAGGAGGAAUACCGGUGGCGAAGGCGGGUCUCUGGGCUGUUACUGACGCUGAGGAGCGAAAGCGUGGGGAGCGAACAGG